rnacentral:rRNA from 1 species
UAGGGAAUCUUCGGCAAUGGGGGGAACCCUGACCGAGCAACGCCGCGUGAGUGAAGAAGGUUUUCGGUUCGUAAAGCUCUGUUGUUAAGGAAGAACGAGUGUGAGAAUGGAAAGUUCAUGCUGUGACGGUACUUAACCAGAAAGGGACGGCUAACUACGUGCCAGCAGCCGCGGUAAUACGUAGGUCCCGAGCGUUGUCCGGAUUUAUUGGGCGUAAAGCGAGCGCAGGCGGUUAGAUAAGUCUGAAGUUAAAGGCAGUGGCUCAACCAUUGUAGGCUUUGGAAACUGUUUAACUUGAGUGCAGAAGGGGAGAGUGGAAUUCCAUGUGUAGCGGUGAAAUGCGUAGAUAUAUGGAGGAACACCGGUGGCGAAAGCGGCUCUCUGGUCUGUAACUGACGCUGAGGCUCGAAAGCGUGGGGAGCGAACAGG